GUAGGGAAUCUUGCGCAAUGGGCGAAAGCCUGACGCAGCCAUGCCGCGUGAAUGAUGAAGGUCUUAGGAUUGUAAAAUUCUUUCACCGGGGACGAUAAUGACGGUACCCGGAGAAGAAGCUCCGGCUAACUUCGUGCCAGCAGCCGCGGUAAUACGAAGGGGGCUAGCGUUGCUCGGAAUUACUGGGCGUAAAGGGCGCGUAGGCGGACAGCUUAGUCAGAGGUGAAAGCCCAGGGCUCAACCUUGGAAUUGCCUUUGAUACUGGCUGUCUUGAGUUUGGGAGAGGUGAGUGGAACUCCGAGUGUAGAGGUGAAAUUCGUAGAUAUUCGGAAGAACACCAGUGGCGAAGGCGACUCACUGGCCCAAUACUGACGCUGAGGCGCGAAAGCGUGGGGAGCAAACAGGAUUAGAAACCCGGGUAGUCC
rnacentral:rRNA from 1 species